UACGUAGGGGGCAAGCGUUGUCCGGAGUUACUGGGCGUAAAGCGCACGCAGGCGGUCUCUUAAGUUUGGAGUGACAGUUGGUGGCUUAACUGCCAAAGUGCUUCGAAAACUGAGAGACUUGAGGGCUUCAGAGGGACACGGAAUUCCGGGUGGAGUGGUGAAAUGCGUAGAUAUCGGGAGGAACACCUGCGGUGUAGACGGCUUUCUGGACCAUUGUUGACGCUGAGACACGAAAGCGUGGGUAGCAAACAGG
rnacentral:rRNA from 1 species